CUGGAAUGACCAGCAAUGACUUCUUAUUGGUCAGGUCAUAGCCAUGAUCCAAAACCGUCACCUUCUAGAAUGACCAGCAAUGACUCCUUAUUGGUCAAGUCAUAGCCAUGAUCCAAAACCGUCACCUUCUGGAAUGACCAGCAAUGACUUCUUAUUGGUCAGGUCAUAGCCAUGAUCCAAAACCGUCACCUUCUAGAAUGACCAGCAAUGACUCCUUAUUGGUCAAGUCAUAGCCAUGAUCCAAAACCGUCACCUUCUGGAAUGACCAGCAAUGACUUCUUAUUGGUCAAGUCAUAGCCAUGAUCCAAAACCGUCACCUUCUAGAAUGACCAGCAGUGACUUCUUAUUGGUCAAGUCAUAGCCAUGAUCCAAAACCGUCACCUUCUGGAAUGACCAGCAAUGACUUCUUAUUGGUCAAGUCAUAGCCAUGAUCCAAAACCGUCACCUUCUAGAAUGACCAGCAAUGACUUCUUAUUGGUCAAGUCAUAGCCAUGAUCCAAAAC